GACGAACGCUGGCGGCGUGCUUAACACAUGCAAGUCGAACGGAAAGGCCCUGCUUUUGUGGGGUGCUCGAGUGGCGAACGGGUGAGUAACACGUGAGUAACCUGCCCUUGACUUUGGGAUAACUUCAGGAAACUGGGGCUAAUACCGGAUAGGAGCUCCUGCUGCGUGGUGGGGGUUGGAAAGUUUCGGCGGUUGGGGAUGGACUCGCGGCUUAUCAGCUUGUUGGUGGGGUAGUGGCUUACCAAGGCUUUGACGGGUAGCCGGCCUGAGAGGGUGACCGGGCACAUUGGGACUGAGAUACGGCCCAGACUCCUACGGGAGGCAGCAGUGGGGAAUAUUGCACAAUGGGCGGAAGCCUGAUGCAGCAACGCCGCGUGCGGGAUGACGGCCUGCGGGUUGUAAACCGCUUUAGCCUGUGACGAAGCGUGAGUGACGGUAAUGGGUAAAGAAGCACCGGCUAACUACGUG
rnacentral:rRNA from 1 species